UCACCGACCGCAGUGUCGCACACAGUCUGUGGUCGCAUGCUGCACGAUUCUUACAGAGAAGGGGAGCUGGGUUCUCGAGGUGACUGUUUUUUUUUGGCAAUAUUUCUGUGGUGAUGGGUACAGUGAAAUCCUUUGGAGUGCUGUUCAACCCAUGCAGGAGUCUCUGCUGAGUUCUAAUGCUCAGCUUGGAACAGUCCUUGGUAUGACCCAUAGUUUAGGGUCUCAGUGUGGGUUUGGCAUCGAUGCAUUAAUCAGUUAUCAUCCUGUCUUUGCUACAGUCAAAUGGAAAUCAAGGCCUCGACUGGCAAAGGUCACCACCUUCUCCUCACCUCUUUGAACUUGAGACAAGACAGCACCCAAGCCGGACAAACUCGCAUCUACAUCAAGUAUGAAAGUCAGCAAAUGUGAGAAUAGGAGGUUUGACGAACUUGGGUUUAAGCUCUUCAGAGGCAGCCUGACAAGCUUCUGACCACUGGUUUCGUAACAUUUUUGGUGGACAACGUUGUGUCUUACCAACCACAGCAUGAAGCGGUGCAGCUAUCCGGCAAAGCCCUUGAUAUACCGCCUGUAGUAGUUAGCAAAACCUAGGAAGGAACGCCGUUGCUUGGUCUUGCGAGGCACAGGCCAUUCAACAAUUGGCGUUGUCUUCACAGAUUUGGUAGCAAUGCCAUCUGCAGAUAGAGUAUGAUCCCAACAGUCGAUUUGCUUGCAAAAUAGAUGACACGUUGAGGGUUUACGUCUGAGAUUAUGUUCUCUUAACUUAAAGAAAACAGUGUCAAGAUGAUGCAAGUGCUCAUCGAAGGUCUUUGAGAAGAUGCAGACAUCAUCAAGGAAGCAAAUGCAAAGAGUCACAUCAACUACUGUACAUUACCAAUAACAAAGAAGAAAACAGUUCAAACGGCCGCAGUGUGAACAUGGAGUCCCACUGCUCUAGUGGACAGUGCUGAGCAAUCAGGCAUCUGACGACACAGACUCUGAAAAUGUUCAACACGGCAUACAGAGCUCAGGAAACUGCCACAGUCAGACAAUGGAAGUUGACCAGUCGAGCAGCCAGUUCCAUGCACAGUUCAGCAAGAAACAGCACAAAAGUGGCUAGAACAUUUCAAGUAAAGCACAUCGAACCAGUCAUAAUAGCAGGACGACAAUUGGAACAGUACUGCUGUAGAAAAUAACUCUUCGGCAGCUAUCAGGGUCUUUUGAUGGCAAACGGACUCUCCGAGGCUGCAGCACUUGAAGGAUGAAGGUGUAACAACAGUGUUGGUCAAAAACACCACUGUCUGCAGAGGACCGUCAGAAGAUGUAGAUCAGUAACACCUACGGAAUCAAACCGUCUGCACCGAUCCAUUCCCUGUUUGUGUUCGACUGUCGUUUACCCUUCAUAUUUGAUUUUUGCUCGCACCCCAAUUAAAAGUGAAUGAAUUUCAAUCCUGCUGACUACUCAGAGUGUUACCGAGCAGAUCCACUCAGAAACGAGGACUGGGGGACGCAACAAGCUCCAGUGUGCAACUUUGUAUAGGGAGUAUCAUCAAGGGUAUUAAAAAAGACAGUCAACAGGCAUGAUAAAGAUUAGGCCUAACUGUCUAAAAGUUAAAGAAAAUAAAUAACUAUUAAAGUACAUGACAUUUUGUUUCCUUCUUUCGGCGUUAGACGCACUCUCCAUUUUGCCAUACAGCCGAAAAAGACAACGACUAAAGUCCGCGAGACUUUCGUCUUCGAGUUGACGUGGGGAUACAAGGCUUUGGUUAAUGACUGCACUGUCUUCGGACUAGCGGUGAUUCACGUUUUACCCACAUGUCUCCUUGGGGCGGACAACACAUAACUUCCUCUUUGGCAACGUCUCUGAGGUAAUCAAGUGCAGUGCUUAUCUUUUCUUGGUCAGACAAACCGAAUUGACGAGUAUAUGCAUUUAAGUCAUUCUGCCAUUCUGAUAACAGACUUUAAAAUCUGAUCCACAGAGUGCCGCAGAAAACCAGUAAACUUUGUAUUGACUGUGACAGCUCUUUGAUACCGUAAAUUUUGAAACGCAUCAGCUAGCGUAUCAGCGAGGGCCUUGUUCGACUGCAGAAUGGCUUCUGCCACAUUUUCUGGCAGGGCAAUCUUUGUGUGUGACGGCUCAACUAAUAAUACGAAUCUUUAUUAAUGCAAAUAGGCAUAUAUAUCAACCUCUUUCUCAGGUGAGUUUUGGUAAAUACAAAGUCAACCAAAAUUAACAUAUACUAGUCACACUAUGCACAACAAGGGCGACCAAUUGUUAGAAAUAUAAGCAGUUACCAAUUUACAAACACAAGCCUUAGCCACAAAUUAUAUUUCACACCAAGGGGAUAAAACAAAGAUAACUGGAAUAUUGAAGAAAUCUGGAGGUCAGUGUAUACUGUCUAUGACGCCAUACUGUGACCAGACAUGUCAUUCUAAGCCGCCCCUGGUAGUGGGGUGGUAGAUCCACCCUCCUGUGAUAGAAGACAAGGCACCCUCUAAGCAAACUCCCCCAAAAGAUUAUUCGGAAACCGGAUGCCAAUCAGAUGAUAAUUUAAUUAUUUGUUGCUUUCAUGUCCGAGCUUCUUCACGUAAACUAUAUCCAAGCUUCUCCCAGUAAAUAAUCCAAGCUUCUUCACGUAAAGUAUUACAUCCCUGUACGAAAAAUAAUUACAUAAUGUUUAAACCCAAGAUACUUAUUGUACAUAAAAAUACAACAUAUUUACUACAUUUAUAAAGCUAGUGUACACAAUGUGGUUUGGUAAGGUGUGUAACUAAAAAUAGAAUUAACACUUUGUAUUAAAUUAACCUGGUGUGAUGGCUUGGCAGUGAUGUAAGUGCUGCAGAAACUUGAAGGGCAAGUUCCUCCAAAACCUCGAGCUAACGCCAAAACAUAAUUCAUAAAAGCGGCAUGAUAAAUAACAUUCUCAAUAGCACAAACACAGGUAUUAUGGAACUGCAACAUGGGUAUUUGCAUGGAAUGAACACUACAUAAAAUCUACACGGCAUAUCCCAUCUGGUAAACUAAGCUAGCCGUAGAAAACAAUGACAGCCAUGACCCACCAAUGUAAGUCGUACACAGCCCUGAGUUCAGUGCACAGUGCGAUCUCAUACUCACGAGGCCUGCUGUGCACUCCACGCCCUGCGUAAAUGCAACACAACGUGCAAUGUGUAUGUAAGUACAUGUAUAAUUAUAACGUAUGCGACACAGCAAUCUACCACAAAAGAGUCCAAAUACUAUGAUCAUAAAACCACUCAAAAAUGAAUUAAAAUUCCAUUAUCCUUGUGUACUAUGAUUAUAAGCCCUGUGAGGGUUCCUAACAGAAAAAGGUACAAAGAGUGAGGAAUUUUGGAGCAAAACGUUCUUACCUGGGUGUUGCUGGAUCAGCGGCGAAAAGGCUCACGCUAGAGAGUUCUUGAACGACCAACACCUAUAGAGAAGGCACUGUUCGAAGUGAUUUUGAACAUAUUGCUUUGCCAUUCAUAAAAAAGUGUGAUUACGCUCAAAGAUUAACUGAAUGCUCGUGCACUGUAGACAUUUAGGGCAUGAAAUUUGUGAGCCACUUGGUGGAAAUGAAGUACAAGUCGCUAGAGCCUUUAUACAAUACCAGAAAGCAACAGAACGCCUCCACAUAUUUUUUCCUGAAUCAAAUCAAUUUUCAUCAGGAUGUCAAACUUAGUGAGGCAUGCAUCAAUACAAGACACUAGAUUUGAUCUUUCUAAUGCUCGAGCAAAACAAACUUGCAUCGUUGAAAUGGGCUUUUAAGUCAUAUUGGUAGGCAGAUCACAUGGUGUACAUCUAGUAGUAUGGGCCCACCAUUCACAACUUGUUUCCAACCAUAAUUUCACGAAGACCAGUAGGUAUCUCACCGAGAUUUGAAAACAGACCGUCCACAUUAUUUUGUUAACCAGACCGAGAAAGUGCGUUGAGUGGUUCUUGUCUGCUAACCCCCAUUUGUGAAAGUGGAGUUUUCUGAGCUGUUUUUAGUUGCCUACCUCCGAGCUAAAUGGACAAACCCCCACAUUGUAAUGUUGCCCACAAAGGACUUUCAAUAGCUAUUGUUAAUUUCAGGCCGCACAAGGUCACUGUAGUAAGCCAAUACAUACAGUGCUUUAGCGUGCUACGCCACAUGUUGAAAAUAAUCUUUUUAUAUUACCAGAAGAUUCAUAACAAACGGUGCAUAUAGUGUAGGCAUUAGGGUAUAUCGCAUGCAUAGGUAAGAAAUUUCAGUGAAUGGUGUGUGGUUACCUGAUGUUAUUGGUAUUACAUAGCUACCUAUAAAGGAUAUCUAAAACGUUUAGUUCGACCCCAAGAUUACAAAUACUUUCCCAAAAAACAGAGGCAGAAGUGUUCGAUCGUAGGCGAAGUUUUCAGAGUUGUUAGCUGCCGGAGACUGACAGAAAAUACCCUUUUUAAAAAAAAUGGAAACUAAAGGAAACUAGAGGCAAUGUCGUUUGCUCUUAGAGGGUGUAUGCACGCAUAGUUACAACUCGUGUAAAGAUACCGCAUUGCAUUUUAAACAUGUUGCUUGUUUAAGUUUUAGCCACAGUUUACUUCAGAUUAUGUACUAUUUAUAAAACUGAUUCUUUGUUCGUAUUUAACAGCUUAACAUUCAACUGGACAUAUUGCUUAUCUUUUAAGCAUGUUUACAAGGUAAUAACAAAAUUGCAAUUGUUUGAGGUGAUUGGAUUAAUGUUUCUAUUGAUUUUCGCAGGAAUGGAUAGCUUUGAGUUGCAUAAAUUACUCAUCGAGAACACAAAGUUCCUUGGAAUUAUACGGUCCGCUCUUAAGACCAGAAAUAUUAUCAAAUAACAUUUUACAUGACUUCCAGUACAUCUUCAAAAACUAUUAGUAUUGGAAGCUUUGCAUCAGAACUACCUUUAAAUGGUUGCUGAGCGAUAGUGUGCUAUUUUAUGUAUGACUGUUGUCGGGCAUGCAUGUGCUGCAGCGGGUCAACUUAUGGCUGUCUGCACGCUGUAGCUUCGCACCUAGUGGAUUGAACCCAAAUCGACGUUUGUGAUUCCCCCUCUCUUUUUAAGGGGAAAUCGUCAUCAUUUUAAAUAGGUCUCUCGCAUUUUCCUCAUUUCCAUUUCAACAGAAAAUUUAACCAUGUUUAGGGGUUUUGGGGAAUCAGUGCAGCAAUUUGUGAACUUACAAAUUGCUGUCAUUCAAAAUAAGAAAUGAAAAGCCGCCAUUUGGUGUUUGUCUUUAAAAACCAAAAGCCAACACUUUUUUUUGGGGGGGGUCGUAUGAACAACAGCAAAACAGUCCGAGAAAAGCAAAGAGCCAAGUAAGACCUAAUAAUAGAACUACGCAACAAAAAAAGUUGAUGAACAGACUUUAGGGGUCUUUGCACUGCUGUAGCCAAACACUAAUUUGGUUGAAAGAUGAAACUGCAUGAACCCCCCCCCCAAAAAAAUACGAGUCUUGAUACAGUACUCACCAACAUACAUAAAGCACAGGCAGUAGAUAAGGCACCCACCAGUUUGUAGUUUGCAGUGGAUUUUUACCGUUUUAAUAUCUUUUGCCAACUCCAAACAGAUAUAAAUCGGCAAAAGUAAGAAACAAGGGAGAUUUUUUUCGUUGUCUUUUGCUUGUCUCUUAUUGGGUGUUGUAAAAACCUUAUUUCAGGUAUUACGUGUAAUUGAAAUCGUCUCGUCAAUGGAGGGCAAAAGGUUGAUUUUUUUAC